rnacentral:lncRNA from 1 species
GGAUUUUGUCCCCAGCAUUGACGAAGUAAAACGCUGAUGUUCAAUGCCAGUCCUGGUAGAAGAAGGAGAGAAGGAGGAGAAGAGAGAGGAAGAAGGGCAGAGGGAAGAAGAGGAGAGGAGGAGAAGGAGGAGGAGUCACAGAAAACAGGUAGGUCUAGAACAAAACAGAGUCAAACAAAUACAGAAAUCUGGCUGGUGACAUUGACUC